rnacentral:rRNA from 1 species
AGUGAACGCUGGCGGUAGGCCUAACACAUGCAAGUCGAACGGCAGCACAGUAAGAGCUUGCUCUUACGGUUGGCGAGUGGCGGACGGGUGAGGCAUACAUCGGAAUCUACUUUUUCGUGGGUGAUAACGUAGGGAAACUUACGCUAAUACCUCAUACGACCUACGGGUUAAAUCAGUGGAUCUUCGGACCUUGCGCGAUUGAAUUAGCCGAUGUCGGAUUAGCUAGUUGGCGGGGUAAAGGCCCACCAAGGCGACGAUCCGUAGCUGGUCUGAGAGGAUGAUCGGCCACACUGGAACUGAGACACGGUCCAGACUCCUACGGGAGGCAGCAGUGGGGAAUAUUGGACAAUGGGCGAAAGCUUGACGCAGCCACACCGCGUGAGUGAAGAAGGUCUUCGGAUUGUAAAGCCCUUUUGUUGGGAAAGAAAAGAAGUAGGUGAAUACAUGGACGUUCUGACGGUACCAAAAGAAUAAGCAACGGCUAACUACGUG